rnacentral:lncRNA from 1 species
GGGGUUUGCAUGUAAAUUCCAUAUCUGGCCGGAAUGUCUGUUUCGCCGAACUGAUAUAUUGAAUACUUUUUUCAAGGCACGACUGCAACCUGCCUGCUGGGCGUGGCCUUUAUGUCUCAAUUUCUCAUUCAUAAAUUCGUAGUCAUUUCAGACUCAUUUGUAGCCUUUUGUUGAUUUGGAACCCCUCACUUCCCUUGUUGUGUGAAACAUUUCAACAAAACAUUUUGAUAAAAAUUGCUUGUUUGUCUUUCUUAAAUCGUGUCGGUCGUAUUGUAAAUUUCAUUGUAUCAUCCGGCGUAUAGUUUGUUUACAACAAGAUAUCUGUGAGUUUAUACUAACUAAACAUACAACAAACGCGAAUUUUCCAUGUUUAUUUUUUACUGACAAUUAAGUCCGACAUCAUAUAUAUUAGUCUAUUAUAGCUUAGGAUUUAUCCAAUCAUUACAUAAUAGAUAAUUAAUGGGGAUAAAACGGCAUAAAAAAUGUUUAACCCUUACACUUUACUGCAACUUUAGAAUAUACAUGCCCAAAGUCAGGAACCGUUUAAAAAGUGCAUUUUACCCUUAUUUUAUGUUUUUUUUUAGCCUAAAUAAGGUCCCAAAAAUUUUUCGGCGCGCUCCGCUCGGCAAACAUUAUCACCUCGCUCCCCCUUUCCAAAAUCCUGGAUCCGCACCUGCAAAGGAAACUAAUAUUCGGUCAUAUCGCUUUGGAAUUCAACAGACUGUUUAAUUCCAAACACCGAAGACACUCAGAGAGCUUUGCAAUUGCAUACGAUGUUAUAAACCUCACCCUGCAGAGUUAUCAUUUAAACAUGUAUACGCUGAAACAUUCUUUUUAAAAAUGUGUGUUUUUUAUUUGUUUUU